rnacentral:rRNA from 1 species
GUAGGUGGCAAGCGUUGUCCGGAUUUACUGGGGCGUAAAGGGCGUGUAGGCGGUACGUUAAGUCCGGUGUGAAAUCUCCCGGCUCAACUGGGAUAGGUCAUCGGAUACUGGCGCACUAGAGGGGGGCAAAGGAAGGCGGAAUUCCCGGUGUAGCGGUGGAAUGCGUAGAUAUCGGGGGGAACACCAGUGGCGAAGGCGGCCUUCUGGGCCCACCCUGACGCUGAGGCGCGAAAGCGUGGGGAGCAAACCGGAUUAGAUACCCGGGUAGUCCACGCCCUAAACGUUGGAUGCUAGGUGUGGGGGGUGUCGACCCCCUCUGUGCCGUAGCUAACGCUUUAAGCAUCCCGCCUGGGGAGUACGGCCGCAAGGCUA